AUGGCAAUGGUCCCAAGCUGUCCUUGAGGCUGAGGUAGUAGAUUGAAUAGUUGUGGAGUCCUAUCCUCCCUUUGAGCUAACUAUACAAUCUACUGUCUUUCCUAAGGAGACAGUCAGAUCUUCAGUUCGUC
rnacentral:precursor_RNA from 7 species